GAUGAAGAACGCAGCGAAAUGCGAUAAGUAAUGUGAAUUGCAGAAUUCAGUGAAUCAUCGAAUCUUUGAACGCACCUUGCGCCCUUUGGCCAUUCCGAAGGGCAUGCCUGUUUGAGUAUCAUGAACACCUCAACUCUUUAUGGUUUUCCAUGAUGAGCUUGGACUCUGGGGGUUUUGCUGGCUCACAGUCGGCUCCUCUAAAAUGAAUCAGCUUACCAGUGUUUGGUGGGUAUCAUGGGUGUGAUAACUAUCUACGCUUGUGGUUUUUCCACCAGGUAACCUUCAGCAGUGGAGGUUCGCUGGAGCUCAUAGAUGUCUCUCCUCAGUGAGGACAGCCCUUUGAAUGUUUGAUCUCAAAUCAGGUAGGACUACCCGCUGAACUUAAGCAUAUCAUAAGCGGAGGA
rnacentral:misc_RNA from 1 species